AGCAGCCGCGGUAAUUCCAGCUCCAAUAGCGUAUAUUAAAGUUGCUGCNGUUAAAAAAGCUCGUAGUUGAAUUUUCGGGACCAUCAUGUCGGUCGUGCCUCGGUACGUACUGGCAUCGUUGGUUUCUCCCUUCUGACGAACCAUGAUGUCAUUUAUUUGGUGUUGUGGGGAAUCAGGACUGUUACUUUGAAAAAUUAGAGUGUUUAAAGCAGGCUCACGCUUGAAUACAUUAGCAUGGAGUAAUGAAAUAGGACGUUUGAUUCUAUUUUGUUGGUUUCUAGGAUCGACGUAAUGAUUAAUAGGGAUAGUUGGGGGCAUUAGUAUUCAAUUGUCAGAGGUGAAAUUCUUGGAUUUAUUGAAGACUAACUACUGCGAAAGCAUUUGCCAAGGAUGUUUUCAUUAAUCAAGAACGAAAGUUAGGGGAUCGAAGACGAUCAGAUACCGUCGUAGUCUUAACCAUAAACUAUGCCGACUAGGGAUCGGAUGGUGUUAAUUUUUAAUGACUCAUUCGGCGUCCG
rnacentral:rRNA from 1 species